rnacentral:rRNA from 1 species
CCCAUGCCGAACACAGAAGUUAAGCUCUUGAACGCCGAUGGUAGUUGGGACUUUGUCCCUGUGAGAGUAGGACGUUGCCAGGC